rnacentral:lncRNA from 1 species
UAUAAAUAAUAUUAUGUAAUGUAUGGUGCCAUACAUUGUACGAUAUUAAUAUAACACAAUAUUAGUACAAUACAAUCUAAUAUAAUACAUCUUUUAUUAAAUAAAAUAAUACACUUUCAUGCAAUACAAUGUGUCAAACGUAUCCUUAGGAAACAAAUUGUUAUGAUGCAUUUCUCAAUGAUUUAGACAAUUCAAAAAAUGAUAGUAAAAUUUUUUGUGUGGAAAAUAAAAUAACCAGGAUUUAAAUUUCUCUUAAAGUCGAACAUAGCUAAAUAAUUGACCAGUGAUUUAGGUAAGUUUGUAUGGCGAUGUAUAAAUGUUAUGUACCUUCUAAUAUUUAAUAGAUGAAAAGAGUUUACAGUGAUAAAAAGGUUAUUUCGGGCGAACCACUCUUCACAUCAAGACUCCUCAAUUUAGAAAACACUUAUCCUAUAUCUAGAACAUGUUAGUCACAAUAUACAUAUAUAUACACAAAUAAAUUACUACUUUUAACUCCCAAAUAAAUUGUUAGUAAUAUGCCCUAAAGGCCAAUCGAAUGGUGUUUGUUUGUUUAGGGAAUUAUUGUAUUUGAAUAGCAUUUUGAUAUUUAUAAAAUGGAAAAAUUAUCAACAUUCAUAAAUUAAUUUAAUGAAUAUAGUCAAAGAAGUAAAAUAGUUAAGGAACACAUUCUCGAGUUUGUCGAGAAUAUGAAACGUGCAUCCUUUAUACUAUACUUCUAAAAUAGUUCAUAGUGGUGGAUUUAUGAUUGGACAUUAUAAAUUCCUAUAAACACUAGUAUGUGUUAUGACUCCUUAUGGUAUGUGAUACUAAAAUGGAUGGUGAGUUUCAUAUCAUUGACAUGAGAUGUCAAGUCAAACACAUAGGUACUUGUUGAGAGAACGAGUCUACUGAACUUGACCAAAUAUAGUAAGCCAUAUGGUUUUGAGUGUUAAUGGCUUAUUAUACAUUGUGAUAGACACUAUGUUUAGUAAUGGUCUUUAGACCUGAGACAUAACAGAUGUCUUAUACAUAGACAUCUCUGAUAUGUGAAAGCAUAAUGAUUGAUUCUUAAUCAAGGAAGAGAUCUAGCAAUAGCUGUCG